AUGAACGCUAGCUACAGGCUUAACACAUGCAAGUCGAGGGGCAGCAUGGUCUUAGCUUGCUAAGGCCGAUGGCGACCGGCGCACGGGUGAGUAACACGUAUCCAACCUGCCGUCUACUCUUGGACAGCCUUCUGAAAGGAAGAUUAAUACAAGAUGGCAUCAUGAGUCCACAUGUUCACAUGAUUAAAGGUAUUCCGGUAGACGAUGGGGAUGCGUUCCAUUAGAUAGUAGGCGGGGUAACGGCCCACCUAGUCUUCGAUGGAUAGGGGUUCUGAGAGGAAGGUCCCCCACAUUGGAACUGAGACACGGUCCAAACUCCUACGGGAGGCAGCAGUGAGGAAUAUUGGUCAAUGGGCGAGAGCCUGAACCAGCCAAGUAGCGUGAAGGAUGACUGCCCUAUGGGUUGUAAACUUCUUUUAUAAAGGAAUAAAGUCGGGUAUGCAUACCCGUUUGCAUGUACUUUAUGAAUAAGGAUCGGCUAACUCCGUGCCAGCAGCCGCGGUAAUACGGAGGAUCCGAGCGUUAUCCGGAUUUAUUGGGUUUAAAGGGAGCGUAGAUGGAUGUUUAAGUCAGUUGUGAAAGUUUGCGGCUCAACCGUAAAAUUGCAGUUGAUACUGGAUAUCUUGAGUGCAGUUGAGGCAGGCGGAAUUCGUGGUGUAGCGGUGAAAUGCUUAGAUAUCACGAAGAACUCCGAUUGCGAAGGCAGCCUGCUAAGCUGCAACUGACAUUGAGGCUCGAAAGUGUGGGUAUCAAACAGGAUUAGAUACCCUGGUAGUCCACACGGUAAACGAUGAAUACUCGCUGUUUGCGAUAUACAGUAAGCGGCCAAGCGAAAGCGUUAAGUAUUCCACCUGGGGAGUACGCCGGCAACGGUGAAACUCAAAGGAAUUGACGGGGGCCCGCACAAGCGGAGGAACAUGUGGUUUAAUUCGAUGAUACGCGAGGAACCUUACCCGGGCUUAAAUUGCAGAUGAAUUACGGUGAAAGCCGUAAGCCGCAAGGCAUCUGUAAAGGUGCUGCAUGGUUGUCGUCAGCUCGUGCCGUGAGGUGUCGGCUUAAGUGCCAUAACGAGCGCAACCCUUGUUGUCAGUUACUAACAGGUUCCGCUGAGGACUCUGACAAGACUGCCAUCGUAAGAUGUGAGGAAGGUGGGGAUGACGUCAAAUCAGCACGGCCCUUACGUCCGGGGCUACACACGUGUUACGAUGGGGGGUACAGAGGGCCGCUACCACGCGAGUGGAUGCCAAUCCCAAAAACCUCUCUCAGUUCGGACUGGAGUCUGCAACCCGACUCCACGAAGCUGGAUUCGCUAGUAAUCGCGCAUCAGCCACGGCGCGGUGAAUACGUUCCCGGGCCUUGUACACACCGCCCGUCACACCAUGAGAGUUGGGGAUACCCGAAGCCUGUGAGCCAACAGUUAAAUGAGGCAGCAGUCGAAGGUAGAAUCAAUGAUUGGGGUG
rnacentral:rRNA from 1 species